rnacentral:lncRNA from 1 species
CAUAUAUAUACCUAUGGCUGAUUCAUGUUGAUGUAUGGACGAAAUCAACACAAUAUUGUAAAGCAAUUAUCCUCCAAUUUAAACAAAUUAAAAAAAAACUGGAAAAUGUAAAUGUAAGAAAUCUUUGAUGACAAAAUGCAGAUCAAUGGCUGUUGGGGAGGGGAGUGAAAGAUUACAAAGGAGCACAUUAGUCAUUUUUGGAAAUGACUAAUAAAUUUACUCUCUUCGGUGUUGUGAUGUUUUCACAGGUGUAUAAGUAUUUCAAACUUACUAAGCUGUAUACUUUAAAUACGUGUAUAAUUGUGUGUCUAAUAUAUGCCAAUAAGAUAUAGUUUUUUAAAUUAAAAAAAGAAGGGAGGCCUCUGGUACCAUCUUCAACCUGCUUUCCUUACCUCCUUCUUGCCUCUGCUAAACUGUGAGGCUGGAUAGAUGGGUACUCCUCCUACACAUCCCUUUCUUCUCUUUCUCCAGCUCUGCCUAUGCGACGAGUCUUCUCUAGGAAGAGCACUCACCAGACUAAGAACAUGGCCCCAGGGCUCCUGACUACUAGGGAUGAGAAUUGUUUCUAUGGGAAAUUUUAUUCAUGAAGUGAAUUUUGGACUUACCACAGAAUAUGGCCAAGUGAAGAAAGAUGCCACCAAAUAUGGCCAGGUGAAGAGAGAUGAGUGUUUUAGAUCAUGUGAGUUACAAUUCUAUAGUAGAGCAUCUGUGGGUUUUUGUCUGCUUUUAAAACCAUUGACAAGAUGCUCUAACAUCUUUGCUCUCUAUUCUGCUACCACUAGCUUUCCUUUCCCUCCUGCCAGAUGUUUGUACCUUCCUGUAUCAUAGGCUUUCCCCCUUUCCUUCUUAUGGCAUCUGUGUUCCCUUUCUCUCUACAUGCCUCAUCUUGAUUUUUAGCCCUCUGAUUUUUUCAUGUCUAUUCUGAAUCUUACUCAUGUUUUAAAUUUAAUUUUUCUUUUACUUAAAAAAUUUUUGUUUUGGCUGUACAUGGAUUUUAUUGUGGUACACAGGCUGUUUGGUGCAUUGGCUUUCUCUAGUUG